CAGCCUGUCUCUGACACUGGGUGCCCUUUUUCUCCACAGGUAAAGGUGGCUAAGCUGGAGAUCAGUCACCUCAGCCCCAGCCAGGACCAUGGAGACAUCCAGAGCAGUGUGGACGUGGGGAAAAUGGAGAGGAUGAUCCCAGCCCAGUUCUGAUGGCUGCCAUGUCCCCUGGCUCUCCUGUGACUGUGACCAGUGUGGAGGAACCCAUGCAAUUCAUCCAAUUGAGCAGGGCAAGAGGAAAACAGAAGGCCAAGGAGGGUUGAGCUUUUUCAUUCCUCAGCCCCUUCACCUCCCAGGACUUGUAUGUAGGAUUUCUUAGUCCCAGACUCACACAGGCUGAUGGCAUUCUCCUGCUGUCCUCUGGGUCCCCAACCCUUCUGCCCUCUCUGUUGAUAUUCAGCCAAAACCAGGGCUUUGCUUAGCCUGGCUGGACUGCUUUGUGACUGUCUGGACAACAAAUAAAGGCUUAUGGUUUGGAGGGGCUGCUUGUUCCACACA